CACGUAGGGGGCGAGCGUUGCCCGGAUUUACUGGGCGUAAAGGGCGCGUAGGCGGUUGCGCAAGUCUGGUGUGAAAUCUCACGGCUUAACCGGGAGGCUGCACUGGAUACUGCGCGACUGGAGCAUAGGAGAGGGAAUCGGAAUUCCUGGUGUAGCGGUGAAAUGCGUUGAUAUCAGGAGGAACACCAGUGGCGAAGGCGGAUUCCUGGCCUAUUGCUGACGCUGAGGCGCGAAAGCUGGGGGAGCGAAAGGG
rnacentral:rRNA from 1 species